rnacentral:tRNA from 1 species
AUUAUAUCAAUAUAGUAUAAAAGUAUAUAUGACUUCCAAUCAUAGGGUCUAUUAAUAAAUAGUAUUGAUA